rnacentral:rRNA from 1 species
GGCCGCGGGAAUUCGAUUCAGGCCUAACACAUGCAAGUCGAGCGGUAGAGAGAAGCUUGCUUCUCUUGAGAGCGGCGGACGGGUGAGUAAUGCCUAGGAAUCUGCCUGGUAGUGGGGGAUAACGUUCGGAAACGGACGCUAAUACCGCAUACGUCCUACGGGAGAAAGCAGGGGACCUUCGGGCCUUGCGCUAUCAGAUGAGCCUAGGUCGGAUUAGCUAGUUGGUGAGGUAAUGGCUCACCAAGGCGACGAUCCGUAACUGGUCUGAGAGGAUGAUCAGUCACACUGGAACUGAGACACGGUCCAGACUCCUACGGGAGGCAGCAGUGGGGAAUAUUGGACAAUGGGCGAAAGCCUGAUCCAGCCAUGCCGCGUGUGUGAAGAAGGUCUUCGGAUUGAAAGCACAUGAAGUUGGGAGGAAGGGCAGUUACCUAAUACGUGAUGUUUGA